GCUUAGCUGUAAACCAAGGCAGUUCCUAAACCCACUGCUCGCCAGAGAACUACAAGUAAAAACUUAAAACUCAAAGGACUUGACGGCAUGCCAUAUCACCCUAGAGGAGCCUGUCCUAUAAUCGAUAACCCACGCUACACCUCACCUGUUCUUGCACUAUGCUCAGCCUAUAUACCGCCGCCUUCAGCCCGCCUUACAAAAGCACAAACAGCGAGCAAAACAGCCACCACUAACACGCCAGGUCAAGGUGUAGCCAACGAACAGGAAGAGAUGGGCUACAUUUUCUAAUUUAGACAACACCGACAGCAACAUGAAACACCCGCCUAAAGGUGGAUUUAGAAGUAAGCCAGGCAAGAUAUGCCUGACUGAACCUAGCUCUGGAAUGCGUACACACCGCCCGUCACCCCCUCCUCAA
rnacentral:rRNA from 1 species